CAGUAGCCGCGGUAAUACGAAGGGUGCAAGCGUUAAUCGGAAUUACUGGGCGUAAAGCGCACGCAGGCGGUUUGUUAAGUCAGAUGUGAAAUCCCCGAGCUUAACUUGGGAACUGCAUUUGAAACUGGCAAGCUAGAGUCUUGUAGAGGGGGGUAGAAUUCCAGGUGUAGCGGUGAAAUGCGUAGAGAUCUGGAGGAAUACCGGUGGCGAAGGCGGCCCCCUGGACAAAGGCUGACGCUCAGGUGCGAAAGCGUGGGGAGCAAACAGGAUUAGAUACCCGAGUAGUCCCUGUCUCUUAUAC
rnacentral:rRNA from 1 species